rnacentral:rRNA from 1 species
GUGCAGCAGUCGCGAAACUUUACAAUGUGCGAAAGCACGAUAAGGGAACUCUGAGUGCCUCCUAAGGAGGCUGUUCAGGUGUCUAAAAGCACCUGGAGUAAGGGCUGGGUAAGACCGGUGCCAGCCGCCGCGGUAACACCGGCAGCCCAGGUGGUAGCCACUUUUAUUGGGUCUAAAGCGUCCGUAGCCGGUUGAGUAAGUUCCUUGGGAAAUUUGGCUGCUCAACAGUCAAGCUUCCAGGGAAUACUGCUCGACUUGGGGACUGGGAGAGGUCAGAGGUACUCCAGGGGUAGGGGUGAAAUCCAUUAAUCCCUGGGGGACCACCGGUAGCGAAGGCGUCUGACCAGACCAGGUCCGACGGUGAGGGACGAAGGCUAGGGGCGCGAACCGGAUUAGAUACCCGUGUAGU